rnacentral:misc_RNA from 1 species
GAAAUGCGAUAAGUAAUGUGAAUUGCAGAAUUCAGUGAAUCAUCGAAUCUUUGAACGCACCUUGCGCUCCUUGGUAUUCCUUGGAGCAUGCCUGUUUGAGUAUCAUGAAAUCUUCAAAGUAAAUCUUUUGUUAACUCAAUUGGUUUCUACUUUGGUAUUGGAGGUCUUUGCAGCUUCACACCUGCUCCUCUUUGUUUAUUAGCUGGAUCUCAGUGUUAUGCUUUGUUCCACUCGGCGUGAUAAGUUAUCUAUCGCUGAGGACACUGUAAAAGGUGGCCAAGGUAAAUGCAGAUGAACCGCUUCUAAUAGUCCAUUGACUUGGACAAUACUUUUAUGAUCUGAUCUCAAAUCAGGUAGGACUACCCGCUGAACUUAAGC